AAAUAGUUACUUAUUUCUCGUAUUUUAAAUAAACAGAUAAAAAGUGCACGAAUUGAAGAAAGGAGUAAAAAUGGACUAAAAAGGAGCAAAAACGGACGAAAAAGGCCACACAAGUGCAGCCCAUAAAGACCACACCUGCAUGGCCCAACAUACAAGUUACACGUGUGCACCACCCCCUCAAAAUACUUGUGCUGCCCAGCACAAGCUUAAUUGUUAAGAAAAAAAGAAAAGAAAUGGGCCUCGCCCAAUAGCUGUUGCACAUGUCUUGGAGAAAAGCAAAAUCAUCCUAAUGGCCAUCAGUGAUCAAACGGUGCAGAUUGCACCCGAGCAAAAGUCCCACAUCGCUCAAGUAUUUUGUUUUGUCUCAGUUGUAAUAGUAUAAAUAGGUCCUUUUUCCAUUCAUUCAUGCACACCAACUGGUAACAGUUGAGGAAGAGAAUUGAGACUAAGAUUUAAUUCUUGAUUUCUUCUCUUAGUUUAGUAUUUUUUAUUUCCUGCUGUUGCGCUGUCGGUGUCCGUACUCAAGAUUUCCUUUAUUAAUUCAGGUU
rnacentral:lncRNA from 1 species